rnacentral:ncRNA from 1 species
ACGAGUAGGGCUACACACGUGCUACAAUGGCAGAUACAGAGGGCAGCGAAGCUGCGAAGUGGAGCGAAUCCCUUAAAGUUUGUCGUAGUCCGGAUUGGAGUCUGCAACUCGACUCCAUGAAGUCGGAAUCGCUAGUAAUCGUGGAUCAGAAUGCCACGGUGAAUACGUUCCCGGGCCUUGUACACACCGCCCGUCACACCAUGGGAGUGGGCUGCACCAGAAGUAGAUAGCUUAACCUUCGGGAGGGCGUUUACCACGGUGUGGUUCAUGACUGGGGUGAAGUCGUAACAAGGUAGCCCUAGGGGAACCUGGGGCUGGAUCACCUCCUUA